rnacentral:rRNA from 1 species
AGCCUGAACGCUGGCGGCGUGGCUAAGACAUGCAAGUCGUACGGAGGUAGCAAUACCUCAGUGGCGGACGGGUGAGUAAUGUAUCGCUAACGUACCCCGAAUUCUGGGAUAGCCAUCCGAAAGGAUGGGUAAUACCAGGUAAUAUCACCGGGAGGCAUCUCCUGGUGCUCAUAGGGUCACCGUUUUCGGGGAGCGGGGCGAGUAUCGGUAUCAGCUAGUUGGCGGGGUAACGCCCACCAAGGCGACGACGCGUAGCCGGACUGAGAGGUUGGCCGGCCACAUUGGGACUGAGACACUGCCCAGACUCCUACGGGGGGCUGCAGUAACGAAUCUUCCGCAAUGCACGCAAGUGUGACGGAGCGACGCCGCGUGUGGGACGAACGCCUUCGGGGUGUAACCACUGUCAGAGGAUAGAAAGUUCUGAUCGUCCUCAGAGGAAGGCACGGCUAACUCUGUCGCCAGCAGCCGC